CCUUAAGUACAGCAUUUGAAGAAUUCUUCGGAGAGCCUCACUCCCUCACCUAGCUCCGUGGUUUUCGAUUCGUCUUUACAAGGUAUUCCAAGUAUCGUAACAAACACUCACUCGGAAUGAGGUCCUUCCAUUUGGGACUAAGCAUUAUUCUUGGAAUAACAACACCGCUUCUGGCAAAAAAAUUCACAAUUAAUUCUCCGG